GCCUAACACAUGCAAGUCGAACGGUAACAGGAAGAAGCUUGCUUCUUUGCUGACGAGUGGCGGACGGGUGAGUAAUGUCUGGGAAACUGCCUGAUGGAGGGGGAUAACUACUGGAAACGGUAGCUAAUACCGCAUAACGUCGCAAGACCAAAGAGGGGGACCUUCGGGCCUCUUGCCAUCGGAUGUGCCCAGAUGGGAUUAGCUAGUAGGUGGGGUAACGGCUCACCUAGGCGACGAUCCCUAGCUGGUCUGAGAGGAUGACCAGCCACACUGGAACUGAGACACGGUCCAGACUCCUACGGGAGGCAGCAGUGGGGAAUAUUGCACAAUGGGCGCAAGCCUGAUGCAGCCAUGCCGCGUGUAUGAAGAAGGCCUUCGGGUUGUAAAGUACUUUCAGCGGGGAGGAAGGGAGUAAAGUUAAUACCUUUGCUCAUUGACGUUACCCGCAGAAGAAGCACCGGCUAACUCCGUGCCAGCAGCCGCGGUAAUACGGAGGGUGCAAGCGUUAAUCGGAAUUACUGGGCGUAAAGCGCACGCAGGCGGUUUGUUAAGUCAGAUGUGAAAUCCCCGGGCUCAACCUGGGAACUGCAUCUGAUACUGGCAAGCUUGAGUCUCGUAGAGGGGGGUAGAAUUCCAGGUGUAGCGGUGAAAUGCGUAGAGAUCUGGAGGAAUACCGGUGGCGAAGGC
rnacentral:rRNA from 1 species